CAGCGCGGUGUACCUCACCAGGUCCAGACAGAGGAAGGAUUGACAGAUUGAUAGCUCUUUCUUGAUUCUUUGGGUGGUGGUGCAUGGCCGUUCUUAGUUGGUGGAGUGAUUUGUCUGGUUAAUUCCGUUAACGAACGAGACCUUAACCUGCUAAAUAGGAUGCGGGAAUAGACUUUUGUUGUCCCGUAAUCGCUUCUUAGAGGGACUUUGCGGUUAUAAAUCGCAAGGAAGUUUAAGGCAAUAACAGGUCUGUGAUGCCCUUAGAUGUCCUGGGCUGCACGCGCGCUACACUGAUGCGUUCAUCGAGUUUAUCCUUGGCCGAGAGGCCCGGGUAAUCUUUAGUACGCAUCGUGAUGGGGAUCGAUUAUUGCAAUUAUUAAUCGUGAACGAGGAAUGCCUAGUAUGCGCAAGUCAUCAGCUUGUGCAGAUUACGUCCCUGCCCUUUGUACACACCCCCCGUCGCUCCUACCAAUCAACUGAUGCCGUGAAUUAUU
rnacentral:rRNA from 1 species